CCGUAGCCUCACUGCUUUCAGUGCGGAAGCCCCAGCUGUGCAAAACGGAUGCUGACUGCCCACAAUACGCUCCCUACUGCGGAGAGGGCAAAUGCCGCCGGGUGAUAACACACUGCCGAUCCGGCGAAGAGGGCAUGGCUGGAUGCAAGAGGUGCAUCUGCGGCAAGGGCGUCUGGGCCUGCGUGUAUAAGAGCUGUCCGGAACCAUUCAAACAUGAUGGAGCGGUGCCGUGUCAGUGGGCGAAGGAUCUGAAGCUAUGCCGCGACUGAUCCUCGGUUCUGCCUCGGCCACUGCAGCUGGAAUUACAAGACAACAACCAACACGUUCAGAAGCAGCUUUAACCCUCGCCCUGACUCGCCCCACAUAAUAGCGCGGAACGAUAGAAAGUUUGAUACGACCCACCCCUCCGAUUUCCAAGCUAAGAAAGAUAGAGCCUCGCGGAGAAAACAGUGAAUUGGCCUCAACGAGCUCUCGCUAUUAGUUUGGAUUGGUGUUGACAAGGUGCUAGGUCAAUAACUGACCCCAUUCAGCCAGAUCAAAAGGCCAGUGACAAUACCAUGCCAGACAGAAACAUGAAACGACACAACGGUGUUUCUUGUUUAAUUUUGAGCACACUGAUGCAUUUUUAUGUGUUUUCAGCAUAUGUUCAUGGUGCAGGGCUCUGUUAAUGCGACAGUGUUGGCCCGACAUGUGCGAUCGACGGCUUCGUCGGUAGCCACCUGCCGGCCGCGGAUCGCGGAGUUCUUAGAGGGUUCCUACAAAACCAUUCCUCGUUGGAAACCAGGAAAGCUAGAAGCAUGCUGGUACGGUCAAAACACGCGCAACUAACGUCCAUUACGCUAGCGAAACUAUGGGCGUGAUUACACUACACACCAAGGCGCUGUCCCCCAAAAUCCUAUGGGGCUCACAUCCCCCCCCCUCCCCCUCCCCCGCCGCUAUCGGAGCGAGAGUUAAUACGGUUAAUGGGCUUCCUGAAUUUGUGAAGACUUCGAGCACAAAAAUGCACGGUGCGCUGGUAAAUUGACGCACCAAGAACUGUGGUCACUAAGCAAGGGGCGCCAGCACAUCUGAUGCACAUUGAAAUUUGAAGCCAUGAUCCGGAACAAUGCAUUCGGUACGAACGCUUGUCUGUGAGAACCCUGAAAAUAGAUUUUUGGAUGGCCACAAAUGCAGUUUUUGACACCGCUCUGUGGUGCUCAAUAUUUGAUCGGACACGUUGCACCACCACAUCUCUGUGAUGUAUUGCAAACGGUGUUCUAUUAAUUAUUUUGUAUUUGGUUUGAACAAUAUAUUGUCAAGCG